rnacentral:ncRNA from 1 species
AGGUGCUCUGACACAAAGUUAGAGUUAAAAGGGAAGUUGGUGCGACAUUACUUAAUGACAAUGCCAACACUGCCCCCGCAACGGUAAAUGUUGAAAAGCAAAUCAGUUAGCCACUGUGAUUUAUUCAUGGGAAGGUGAUUUUGUUUGGUGAGAACCACAACGUGAGUCCGGAAACCUGCCUGAAGUUU